rnacentral:rRNA from 1 species
GAGCAAUCCUGGUGGCGAGUGGCGAACGGGUAAGUAAUACAUCGGAACGUGCCCAGUAGUGGGGGAUAGCCCGGCGAAAGCCGGAUUAAUACCGCAUACGACCUACGGGUGAAAGCGGGGGAUCGCAAGACCUCGCGUUAUUGGAGCGGCCGAUGUCAGAUUAGGUAGUUGGUGAGGUAAAGGCUCACCAAGCCGACGAUCUGUAGCUGGUCUGAGAGGACGACCAGCCACACUGGGACUGAGACACGGCCCAGACUCCUACGGGAGGCAGCAGUGGGGAAUUUUGGACAAUGGGGGCAACCCUGAUCCAGCCAUGCCGCGUGCGGGAAGAAGGCCUUCGGGUUGUAAACCGCUUUUGUCAGGGAAGAAACGGCUUGAGUUAGUACCUCAGGCUAAUGACGGUACCUGAAGAAUAAGCACCGGCUAACUACAUGCCA